UUGAUUUUGAGUGUGCAAAUGAUUGGAAAAAUCUUUUACAUAUAUCAGUAAAACCGCUAAUCUGGACUGUUUAAAUAUCAGUUAUUAAUGUCCACAUUGGCAAAUAAACCACAUAGAUUUGCAUUUUUACUGCAUAUAGUAAAAAAUUAUCUAAACCAUAUGUCAGUUUUAUAAAGAAUAUUAAGUGAUUUUUCUUUUGGGCUCAUGCAUAAAUUAGGGAGGAGUAGAAAUGAACAUAGGGUCUAAAGAAGAGGGAGUCAGCAAUUCAAUAGAAAGCAAGGCAAAAAUUGUAUUAUUUCUUUUUUGCUGACCGAGGCAGUUCUAGGUACCCUUUGGGAACGGCAAUUACCAUAGCAAAAUUUCCCUUAUUUAGAAUCAACUGGUAUGGAACCAUACACAAAAACCUGAUGCCAUAAUCAGGGACACACGGAAACAUUCAAAUGUGCUGGCAUUUAACACAGAAAAAAAUGAAUAUUCUUUAUCACAGCGUAAAGGCAGGACUCAGUGAAGGUUUGACAAGUCAAUGUGGAGAUAGUUGGGUUGAAUAUUGACUUGGGAUUGGGAUUUCACUCUUCAAAGAAGUCAACACCUACACAAACAACAUAGGCUAAAAAUUAUAGUGUACAACACUGUCCAUUGGUAAAACGUCUUCCUCGAUUCUUCCAAGUACUCAGCUAACAAGAUCAGAAUUGAUUAUGCUUGCAUCUUUCUUUUUGUUGACAUGAGUUAAAAAUAUUAAGAAGCUACAGCUAUCUUUAAUUUGAGCUGGAGUGAGCUCAGAAUCAAAUUGAUAUGUAUAUACAUAGACACACUUCAAUCUAUGAUCGCUUAUUUUUUCCAUUGAUGUAGAUGACAGCCAAUCCAAGCCUCUUCAUCAUGGUCUACUCUUGUAAUGUUGUUCCAUAAAUCCUCCACAAGGUAUUCACCCAGUGUGCCAAGGGCCUUCAUCUAGGACUUAUGUCAUUAGCCUGCCAGGGGCUCGAGAUUUUGGUGCUAAACUUCGCAUAGACACCCAAUUGACUUAGCUCUACUGCAGCAUAACUUCCAAGCCCAAGCUUCAGUCUUAAAGGCUACGACCAUGGAAGUUCAACAAGAAGACAGACCAAUGGAGGAACUGUGAUCACAUAAAGCUUGACAUUCUCAUUGUGUAUGAAACCAUUAACUAAAGAAAUUGCAGCUAAAUGGAAGAGUGUGUCACAGCUUCUUCUUGGAGAGAGUAGGAAGAACUGAUUUCAUCAUAUACCAAAAGGAAAGAGACAUCAUUUCAUGGGACACUUCAGCCAUCUCUUUUAACAGUGCCUGUAGUGAGUAUUUACAACAUACCUGUCAUGAAGAAAACUAAAGCCUACACAACAACAUUUGUUAAAGAAGUUCUGAUGGAAGAAGACCCUGAAGAACUAGAUAAGAGCUAGAUAAGGGUAGUGAAAAAAGCUGUGAAAAACUAUGCUUCAGAAGAAGGAAAUGAGUGAGGCCAAGGUCGUUCCUAUACAUCUGGAAUAUUUUCCUCAAAAAGAGAGUCAGGAGGCAAAGGAUGGCUCGAGGUCUGGGCAUAUAGGAAGGAGCUCUUGGCCUACAACCACCUUAAGGGUUUAUUGAAAAAUAUAAACUACCUAAGCAAACCUUCUCAUAUAUAAAGAGUUCAAAAGAGGUCCAUUGUUUUGGGUCUCAAUGUUAGUCAGUGAAUCCUUGUCUUUAUGUGCCCCAGCAAAAUGAAGAAGCAUGUGCAACUAUUACCAAAAGGUAAUCUUUUUUAGAAUAUGGAAUAACCACUGAAUGGGCUAUAGACAUUAGAGGCUACAUGUAUUACAGUGGGAAACAGAC